UUCGCAAUGCCCGAAAGGGUGACGAAGCGACGCCGCGUGGGUGAGGAAGGCCCUCGGGUUGUAAAGCCCUGUCAGGAGUUAAGAAAUGUAAGUGUGUUAAUACCACAUUUAUUUGACGAAGGCUCCAAAGGAAGCCACGGCUAACUCUGUGCCAGCAGCCGCGGUAAUACAGAGGUGGCAAGCGUUGUUCGGAAUUAUUGGGCGUAAAGAGCACGUAGGUGGGUUUGUAAGUCAGAUGUGAAAGCCUUCUGUUCAACGGAAGAAUUGCAUCUGAAACUGCGAAUCUUGAGUGUAGGAGGGGAGAAUGGAACUUCUGGUGGAGCGGUGAAAUGCGUAGAUAUCAGAAGGAACGCCGGCGGCGAAAGCGGCUCUCUAAGCUGUAACUGACGCUGAGUGUGCGAAAGCUAGGGGAGCAAACGGGAUUAGAUACCCCGGUAGUCCUAGCCGUAAACGAUGGGCACUAAGUAGAGGGGUUUUA
rnacentral:rRNA from 1 species